GUAGGUGGCAAGCGUUGUCCGGAAUUAUUGGCCGUAAAGCGCGCGCAGGUGGGGUCUUUAAGUCUGAUGUGAAAGCCCCCCGGGCUCAACCGGGGAGGGUCAUUGGAAACUGGGGAACUUGAGUGCAGGAGAGGAAAGUGGAAUUCCACGUGUAGCGGUGAAAUGCGUAGAUGUGGAGGAACACCAGUGGCGAAGGCGACUUUCUGGCCUGUAACUGACACUGAGGCGCGAAAGCGUGGGGAGCAAACAGGAUUAGAUACCCUGGUAGUCCACGCCGUAAACGAUGAGUGCUAAGUGUUGGGGGGUUUCCGCCCCUCAGUGCUGCAGCUAACGCAUUAAGCACUCCGCCUGGGGAGUACGGUCGCAAAGACUG
rnacentral:rRNA from 1 species